AAUACGACCUUUGGGCUUUAGGGCGCUUGAAUCCCAAUGUGAAUGAGGACAGGGCGAGAGAUUCAGACUCACCCUCAUUCAUUUUCACAAUUCAUCACCUGAACUCUCUCUCCCUCUUGAAACGUCUCCACCACCGGAAAUCUCUCCGCCGCGCCGGAGGCGGCAGAGCAUUCCAGAUAAACCUCAAACAACCACCAUCUCAACCCUUUCCACCUCAUCUCUUCUAUUCUAGCAUCAAUUUCCUCUGAAACGCAAUGAAAUAUCUAAACCAAACCAAAACCUUGAAGAACCCUAGACCCUAAGAAAGUGAAAUUAAAUCGAAACGGAGGGGAAUCAAACCACACAACCUUGAGGCUUUGAUUCCCUUUAAUGUCCUCUACAUAUUGGUAACCAGUUCGAUAUGAAAGAAGAAGAAAUGGAGGGAGCUACCAACCUGUAAGGUCGAGGUUCACCUUGGGGAGCUUUGAAGAUGAGGAUGCUAAUGAAGAUAGAACACCAUAUAGUUCUGCUUCAAUUCCUUCUACAGGCUGCCCUAUGUCACUUGCCACUUUAUCAGAUUUGAAGAGGACUAAUCUUUCCAAACUUCUGCACUUGAUACAUUUGUCAACUUUCCCUUGUUCUCAUACCCUGGGUCAUUAUGCAUAUGAGAUGAUUUGGGCAUGGGAUGGCAUGACAUACAAGGUUCAUGAAGAUUUAAUCAUGGCAACAAAAUUGGCAUAGCAUGGCACCAUGAAGAUAUUUGGAAUGCUCUUUGAAGAUAUGGGAAGCACAAAAAAAAGAAUGCCUUGAAGAUGAAGAAAAAGUGGGAUUAGGUUUUAGAAUAGUUAGUUGACUUUGGUCAACUGUUUGACCAAAAAGUCAACAGUUGACUAAAAAUCAACUCUAGGUCAAAAUGUGUAAAAUCUUGUGUAGAUUCUGUUUUUGACUCUUGCGUAGUGUAUAUUUGAUGGUUUGUAAUGCAAAUUGAUCCUUGAAUGGCAAUGUAACUUGUUCUUCAAGAAAACACUUUUCCCUCCAAAUUGGCAUUUGAAUAUUUGAAUUUGAAUUGAACUUUGAUCUUUGAAUGAAA